UGUCGACACUGCACACACACUCACUCCUCUGGUCGGUGACCAACAAGCCUCUCCACGCUUCUUAGCCAGCGAAACGCUCCCCCAAACCGUUCCAAGAUGAACUUCCUCCGCGUGCUGUCAGUCCUGAUGGUUGUGGUGGUCCUGAUGGCCGGCGUCACGGAGGCGGGACCUCUCUUCCCCCGCAGGGGAAGAGGUGGCUCUGGCAGAAGACGCGGACCGCCCAAUGGCGUCAGCUCCAUUUACGGGGAUAUGUACGCCAACUUCCUCACCGGUAACUCCAUUACUCCCGGAGUCUUAAACCAUAUAUCCUUUGCCGGGCUGUGAGGAUGAAGUGCGGCUGUAGAAUGACGUACGAAAUUAAACAAGGUCGUGCGCCGCCUCCGAAGUCGACGAUCAGCGGCUGGAAAGCCUGACUUCUUGUCCAGCGGGACCUGACCUCUGGUCCGCUGAAGUCGAGAGGACGCCCAGCUGCGGGCCGCUGCAUACCUCGUCGCCGUGACGAGCGUCAGUGGUGGCCACACCAACAGGGCCUGCAAUAAUUCGCAACACAGGCAAGAAGUGUUACAGAGUCGGGAGAAAAGUCCACAGGUUGUCUCCCGCCUGGUGACGUAACGAGGCCUAGAGUGUGAAGCUGUUUGUGUGUUUUAUGGUAGAGUCAGAGAAGUCGCUCAUAGCGAGUCUUGCUUCGCUCAUCCCAUUGUUUCCAGUGACAGUGUAGAGCUGUGGUCACAUCAGCUGACAUUGUGGUGUACAUACUGCAUCAGUUAGUCCACACUAAGGAACUUUAGAUCCUUGGUCUACACCCGCCAGUCGGGCUCUAGUCGAUAGGUAGCAUCAAUAGUUUCUUUCAUCAUUUAGUUUUUUUUACUAUAUUUGACAAAUUUCUAUACUUCGUUAAACAAAUUUUUACAAUGAUAAUCACAUUUUUCGGCAUAACAGUGUUACAACACAAUCAUCGUGCAUUUUCUAUUUACUUUUUGCUUUUUGUAUGACAAGGGAACCUAUGUUUGUAAUAAAUUUGGUGCUAUUUUUUUUUUUUAAAUAAAUACAAUUCAUGGA